GGUCGAUCUCAUUGGGCC
rnacentral:siRNA from 1 species